rnacentral:rRNA from 1 species
CCUACGGGGGGCUGCAGUGAGGAAUUUUGCGCAAUGGCCGCAAGGCUGACGCAGCAACGCCGCGUGGGUGAUGAAGGCCUUCGGGUCGUAAAGCCCUGUCAGGUGGGAAGAAAGGUUUCAAGGAGCAACACUUGGGAUUUGACGGUACCACCAGAGGAAGCACCGGCGAACUCCGUGCCAGCAGCCGCGGUAAUACGGAGGGUGCGAGCGUUAUUCGGAAUCGUGUGGCGGAAAGAGCGUGUAGGCGGGGACAGCCCUGGGCUUAACCUGGGAAGUGCAUUGGAAACUGUUUUUCUUGAGUACUGGAGAGGAAGGGGGAAUUCCCGGUGUAGAGGUGAAAUUCGUAGAGAUCGGGAGGAAUACCAGUGGCGUAGGCGCCCUUCUGGACGGUAACUGACGCUGAGACGCGAAAGCGUGGGGAGCAAACAGGAUUAGAUACCCGUGUAGUC